rnacentral:lncRNA from 1 species
AAAUGUUCCCCAUACGCCCUGACCCCUAACGCAUAACGACCCAUAACCCUUACACCCCUACGACCAUCAACCCCUUGUUUCCCACUCACUCUCUCCGGACGCCUCCAGCUUUGCGGGGCCACUGGGCUCUAUAGGGCAGAUAUAGAUAUAUAUAUAGGGCAUAGUUAUGGGGUGGCUGUGGGGUGGUUGUGGGGUGGCUGUGGGGUGGCUAUGGGGUGGUUAUGGGGUGGCUGUGAGGCAGUUAUGGGGCUGGUUAUGGGCUGGUUAUGGGGCAGUUAUGGGCUGGUUAUGGGGUGGUUGUGGGCUGGUUAUGGGGCUGGUUAUGGGGUGGUUGUGGGCUGGUUAUGGGGUGGUUGUGGGGCCCCACCUGAGCUCUGCCCCUCUGCGGUCACCGCGUGCAGCGCUGCACUGCUCGACUCUGGGGGGGAAACAUGGCCCCAUAGACACAUAUGGCCCCAUAGGGCCCCAUAGACCCAUAUGGCCCCAUAGGGCCCCAUAGCCACACUCAGCCCCAUAGGGCCCCAUAGACCCAUAUGGCCCCACACACGGACCCAUAUGGCCCCACACAGCCCCAUAGGCACACACAGCCCCGUAGCCCCCACAGCCCCAUAUGGAGCCAUAUGGCCCCAUGGCCCUACAAGUCCCCAUAGCCCCAUAUAGCCCCAUAGCCACACACGGCCCCGUAUGGCCCCAUAUGACCCCAUAGAUUCCCAUAGCCUCCACAGACCCAUAUGGGCCCAUAUGGCCCUACAAGGCCCUACAAGGCCCCAUAACCCCAUAUGGCCCCAUAGCCCCACAUGGUCCCAUAUGGCCCUAUAGCCCCACAUGGCCACAUAUGGCCCCAUAGCCACACACGGACCCAUAUGGCUCCAUAUGGCCCCACAAAGCCCCAUAGCCCCCACAGCCCCAUAUAGAGCCAUAUGGCCCUACAAGUCCCCAUAGCCCCAUAUAGCCCCAUAGCCCCACAUGGCCCCAUAUGGCCCCACACAACCCCAUAGCCACACACAGCCCCAUAGCCACACACGGCCCUGUAUGGCCCCAUAUGACCCCAUAGAUUCCCAUAGCCUCCACAGACCCAUAUGGGCCCAUAUGGCCCUACAAGGCCCUACAAGGCCCCAUAGCCCCACAUGGCCCCAUAGCCACACAUGGCCCCAUAUGGCACCAUAGCCCCACACGGCCCCAUAUGGCACCAUAGCUACACAUGGCCCCAUAUGGCCCCAUAACCCCAUAGCCCCAUAGCCCCACACGGCCCCAUAUGGCACCAUAGCUACACAUGGCCCCAUAUGGCCCCAUAACCCCAUAUGGCCCCAUAACCCCAUAUGGCCCCAUAGCCCCCACA